rnacentral:rRNA from 1 species
GAGUCUGCGUUUCAUUAGCUUGUUGGCGGGGUAAUGGCCCACCAAGGCUACGAUGGGUAGCUGGUCUGAGAGGAUGAUCAGCCACACUGGAACUGAAACACGGUCCAGACUCCUACGGGAGGUCUACGCUACGCUUGGAGUGAGUACUAUCUGGCAGUCUAUACUAGCGUGCGCGUAACACCCUGACAGUCUACGCCGCACAGCCCGUCGUCGAGGGAWAGCAAGGCCUUUUGCGGKUCUCAAAGCGCUACGUGUUCCACGGGGGAAG